rnacentral:rRNA from 1 species
AUUGAACGCUGGCGGCAUGCCUUACACAUGCAAGUCGAACGGUAACAGGUCUUCGGAUGCUGACGAGUGGCGAACGGGUGAGUAAUACAUCGGAACGUGCCUAGUAGUGGGGGAUAACUACUCGAAAGAGUGGCUAAUACCGCAUGAGAUCUACGGAUGAAAGCAGGGGAUCGCAAGACCUUGUGCUACUAGACCGGCCGAUGGCAGAUUAGGUAGUUGGUGGGAUAAAAGCUUACCAAGCCGACGAUCUGUAGCUGGUCUGAGAGGACGAUCAGCCACACUGGGGCGGAGACACGGCCCAGACUCCUACGGGAGGAAGCAGUGGGGAAUUUUGGACAAUGGGCGCAAGCCUGAUCCAGCAAUGCCGCGUGCAGGAUGAAGGCCUUCGGGUUGUAAACUGCUUUUGGACGGAACGAAAAGCCCCGGGUUAAUACCCUGGGGUCAUGACGGUACCGUAAGAAUAAGCACCGGCUAACUACGUGCCAGCCGCCGCAGUAA